rnacentral:rRNA from 1 species
UACGUAGGUGGCGAGCGUUGUCCGGAUUUACUGGGCGUAAAGAGCGCGCAGGCGGCUGGUCAAGUCCGAUGUGAAAGCUCCCGGCUUAACUGGGAAAUUGCAUCGGAAACUGAUCGGCUGGAAGGUGGGAGAGGGUAGUGGAAUUCCCGGUGUAGUGGUGAAAUGCGUAGAUAUCGGGAGGAACACCAGUGGCGAAGGCGACUACCUGGCCUGUUCUUGACGCUGAGGCGCGAAAGCUAGGGGAGCAAACGGG